rnacentral:rRNA from 1 species
AACGAACGCUGGCGGCAUGCCUAACACAUGCAAGUCGAACGAGACCUUCGGGUCUAGUGGCGCACGGGUGCGUAACGCGUGGGAACCUUCCCUUAGGUUCGGCAUAACUCUCCGACAGGGGUGCUAAUACCGGAUAAUGUCUUCGGACCAAAGAUUUAUCGACUUUGGAUGGGCCCGCGUUGGAUUAGCUAGUUGGUAGGGUAAAAGCCUACCAAGGCAACGAUCCAUAGCUGGUCUGAGAGGAUGAUCAGCCACACUGGGACGGAGACACGGCCCAGACUCCUACGGGAGGCAGCAGUGGGGAACAUUGGACAAUGGGCGAAAGCCUGAUCCAGCAAUGCCGCGUGAGUGAUGAAGGCCGUAGGGUUGUAAAGCUCUUUUAACCGGGAUGAUAAUGACAGUACCGGGAGAAUAAGCUCCGGCUAACUCCGUG